rnacentral:rRNA from 1 species
UACGGGGGGGAGCAAGCGUUGUUCGGAUUUACUGGGCGUAAAGGGCGCGUAGGCGGUCAGCACAAGUCAGUUGUGAAAUCUCCGGGCUUAACUCGGAAAGGUCAACUGAUACUGUGCGACUAGAGUGCAGAAGGGGCAACUGGAAUUCUCGGUGUAGCGGUGAAAUGCGUAGAUAUCGAGAGGAACACCUGCGGCGAAGGCGGGUUGCUGGGCUGACACUGACGCUGAGGCGCGAAAGCGUGGGGAGCAAACAGG